AUGUGUAUAAGAGACAGACUCCGGACCGUACCGGGACGGCCGGCCCCCGCUCCCGCCGCACAUCCGCUACUUGAGCGAGCCCGCGGCGCUCCCGCGGGCUGCGGGCCGCUCCCGGAGAUCGCCCGCCCUACCGCGAACUAUCGGGGCCGGGGCCGGCCAGGAUCAGCGCGGCUCCCGGCCCGUCGACCACCCCCACUCCCGCGCAAGGCGCGUGGGCGCCGCGGCAGCGCCAGCAAAGCGGCGGCGCGAGGCCCCGCCAUGUGCCGGGCAGAGCCGCAGCCAUUCUCCGGGGCGGGUGGGCCCCGCCGCAGCGGCGCAGCCGCCCCGGCACUCACCUGGGCCCCGCUCGGCCGCUCUACCCCGAUCCGCUGCCGCUCCGGCCCCACUCGCGUCGCCGCCACCGCCUUUUGUUCGCGGAGCGCGGCCUCCCCGGCCCAUCGGGCUACGGCCGCCGCCGCCUCCCAUUGGCCGCCGCCGCCGCCGCGUGUGCGUUGCCUGAGCGCCCGCCGCGCGCCCAUUGGCCGCCGCCAGUGGGGCGCGGCCGCGCAGCCUUGUGGGAGCCGUAGUUCCGACACGCUCGCCCCGCCCCCGGUGGCGCCCGCGGCCCUGACCCCCCGCGCUGGACCCGCCGCCGCUGAUGUCACCGGCCAUGAUUACGUCAACAGUCCCCCGCCCAGCGGUACCGGCGGCAGGAACGGGGCUCCUUCCCCAGCGCCAAGACAUGCCGAGAAACCUUCCACGGGCGUGUUGUGGCUGCGGGGACGGGCAGUGCCCGGUGGUACCCACGGGGGAGUGGCGGGACCGCCGGAGCCGGUUCACCGGUGCCACUGCGGGCGGCACCGCUGGAGCGCGAUCCCUGGGAGCAACGGGCCAACGGGAGCGGGACGAGACCGCUGUGACUCUCACGGACCCUCCCGAAGCACCGGGAAUGCUCGGGGAGCCGGGUGUCCUGCCUCCCCCCUGCUCCGUUUCCUCACCAGCCUCUCAAGGCGGCCGCCACGGCUCUCCUGCUUCCUAGGAAUACCCAUCCCACAUUCACUUUUUCCCUGGUAUUUCCAGCCUGUGACUAACGUGCUCAUCAGAGCGCCGAGGGAGCACCCGGCGUGGUGUCUGACGAGAACAGGCGGCCUUGCCCCGUGGCCGGGGCUGCCGUGUCCCCAUGGCAGCGUCACCGGGCUGGGCACAGCCCUCACACUGCUCCUGUCCACCCCGCUGGGGACGGCGUGUCCCACUCGGCGGUACCAGUGCGGGAAAAUCUCCCUGGAAAACAGUUACCGAACGCUUAAGCUGCCUGAAAUUCUCUGCCCGGCCCCCCGGGGACGGGGUGUGUCAGCUCGGCUUCCCACCCCAGAGCUCGGCCGUGGGUGUCUCCCCACCCUGGCGUGA
rnacentral:lncRNA from 13 species